rnacentral:rRNA from 1 species
GAUGAACGCUGGCGGCGUGCCUAAUACAUGCAAGUCGAGCGAACAUAUCAGGAGUUUGCUCGUCUGACGUUAUCGGCGGACGGGUGAGUAACACGUGUAUAACCUACUUAUAAGACUGGGAUAAUUUCGGGAAACCGGAGCUAAUACCGGAUAAUAUAUUGAAGCGCAUGGGUCAAUAGUUAAAGACGGUUUUUCUUUCACUUAUAGAUGGACCCGCCCCGCAUUAGCUAGUUGGUAAGGUGACGGCUUAGCAAGGCUACGAUGGUGAGCCGACCUGAACGGGUGGUCGGCCACACUGGAACUGAGAAACGGUCCAGACUCCUACGGGAGGCAGCAGUAGGGAAUCUUCCGCGAUGGGCGAAAGGCUGACGGAGCAACGCCGCGUGAGUGAUGAAGGUCUUCGGAUCGUAGAGCGCUGUUGUUAGGAGAGAAGAAAUGUGUAAGUAACUGUGAACAUCUUGACGGUACCUGAACAGGAAGCCCCGGCUAACUACGUG